rnacentral:rRNA from 1 species
AUUGAACGCUGGCGGCAGGCUUAACACAUGCAAGUCGAGCGAGAGGCGGACGGGUGAGUAAUGUCUGGGAAACUGCCUGAUGGAGGGGGAUAACUACUGGAAACGGUAGCUAAUACCGCAUACCCUCCGAUGUACCCAGAUGGGAUUAGCUAGUAGGUGGGGUAAUGGCUACCCUAGGCGACGAUCCCUAGCUGGGCUGAGAGGAUGACCAGCCAAACUGGAACUGAGCCACGGUCCAGACCCCUACGUGAGGCAGCAUGGGGGAAGAUUGAACAAUGGGCGCAAGCUUGAUGCAGCCAUGCCGCGUGUGGGAAGAAGGCCUUCGGGUUGUAAAGCAUUUUCAGCGAGGAGGCGUUACUCGCAGAAGAAGCACCGGCUAACUCCGUGCCAGCAGCCGCGUAAUUC